AAGAACUAUGUAGGUCUGAUUUUCUCUUCGAUGGAGGGUACGUAGGAGCAAGAGCCUCGCUUUUGUCGACCUCAAAAAUAAAAAAAAUAAAUAAAAGUUUAGUCACAUAAUUUCACACAAUUCUAAUCUAAGGCUGUUGUCCUUUGAGACAAACGUGAGAGGUGCUAAUACCUUCCUCAAACGUAAAGAUAACUCCCAAAUCUGGAAUAUUAUUCAUGACUGGUUUCCUUUUGUUUUUUCUAACGUUUUCCUUUCAAUAAACGUUGGUGGCUACUCCGCACCUUUUCC
rnacentral:lncRNA from 1 species